CGACGUGAGUAACCUGCCUUGGAGUGGGGAAUAACAGUUGGAAACAGCUGCUAAUACCGCAUAAUAUGUCUGUGUCGCAUGGCACUGGGCAUCAAAGAUUUAUCGCCCUGAGAUGGACUCGCGUCUGAUUAGCUAGUUGGCGGGGUAACGGCCCACCAAGGCGACGAUCAGUAGCCGGACUGAGAGGUUGGCCGGCCACAUUGGGACUGAGACACGGCCCAGACUCCUACGGGAGGCAGCAG
rnacentral:rRNA from 1 species